CGCCUGUUUAUCAAAAACAUAGCCUUUAGCCAAACAAGUAUUGAAGGUAAUGCCUGCCCAGUGAAAUCACUUUCAACGGCCGCGGUACCCUAACCGUGCAAAGGUAGCGUAAUCAUUUGUCCACUAAUUAUGGACCUGUAUGAAAGGCCACAUGAGAAUCUAACUGUCUCUUGUAACUAAUUUAUAAAACUGAUCUUCCAGUUCAAAAGCUAGAAUAUCUAUAUAAGACGAGAAGACCCUGUGAAGCUUA
rnacentral:rRNA from 1 species